GACGAACCGAACGAACGUUGUUCGGAAUAACUAAACUUAAAGAGCGCGUAGACGGACCGCCAAGUUCGAGGUGAAAUCCUCCAGCUCAACCGGAGAACUGCCUCGAAUACUGGAGGUCUCGAGGGUGAUAGGAACAUGCGGAACUAUAGAUGGAGCGGUGAAAUGCAUUGAUAUCCACAGGAACUCCGGUGGCGAAGACGGCAUGCUGGACCACAUCUGACGCUGAGGCGCGAAAACCAGAGGAGCAAACAGG
rnacentral:rRNA from 1 species